GAUGAACGCUGGCGGCGUGCCUAAUACAUGCAAGUCGAGCGAACGGACGAGAAGCUUGCUUCUCUGAUGUUAGCGGCGGACGGGUGAGUAACACGUGGAUAACCUACCUAUAAGACUGGGAUAACUUCGGGAAACAGUAGCUAAUACCGGAUAAUAUUUUGAACCGCAUGGUUCAAAAGUGAAAGACGGUCUUGCUGUCACUUAUAGAUGGAUCCGCGCUGCAUUAGCUAGUUGGUAAGGUAACGGCUUACCAAGGCAACGAUGCAUAGCCGACCUGAAAGGGAGAACCGCCACCCUGGGAACGGAGCACGGUCCAGACUCCUACGGGGGGCAACCGGAGGGGAAUAUUCGAAAAUGGCGGAAACCCGACGGCGGCACGACCGCUGAGGGAAGGAAGUCUUCGGAGCUGAAAACUCUUUUAUUUGGGAAAAACAUGUAUCUAGGUAACUCUGCGCAUCUUGGCGGGACCUAAUCGGAUAACCACGGCUAAAUACGGU
rnacentral:rRNA from 1 species